UUCCUUGAACUUAACACAAGAAAGAUCAAGAGUUGGGUUAGUUGAACAUUAUGUCUUAACGAAAUCUAAUUAGUUUUUUUUAUCAUGUUGGAAUAAUUCAGUCUGACGUUCGGUUUAUGUCGGAUUAAAUAAAUGUUAAACAGAUUGUUUAUUAGUCCAAAUAAUGCAGUCGUUUGUCCCCGCCAGUAUCAGACAGUGUUAAGCUCUGUUGCUACACCAAAGCAGUAUUUGUCUGCUAAAAGUUUAGCUCCCUCUAGUCUACAAAUGUAUCAUGUAUGCAUCAAACUAUUAUCAAGCUUUAAAACAAUAUUUGUGUACAUAAACCAGAAGUUCUCUUCGUGCAUGUGAGUCAUCUCAUUUUCACGUGAUUCUCUACCAUUUGCGCAACUUUUUGUAUUUCAAAUCCAUGAACCUCGUAAAUGUAUGUCUGUGGAUAAGUACUCUGACGGCGCGUGACUUUCACAUGUCUUUUUGAAACUUUACAAGUGGCUUCAUGGGCUGCAAGCCUGCAACUGCUUAACUAAGUCCAUGUCUAAUAAACUUUCACAUGUCUGAAUAUUUUGUUAGAAAUGGCACCGUUAAUUUAUGGUAAGUUGAAAUAUUUGUUUUUUCAAACACAUGGUAAGUUGAAUUUUUAUUUUUAAACACAUGGUAAAUUGAAAAUAUAUUCAGUAUAUAUAUACGAUAGGAAACUGUAUUUUCAAUCUCAUCAUCUACAUGCAAGUUUCCAUAGAGAAAAUAUUAUGUUGAGAUAGUAUAAUAAUAACUAAUUAUGGAAAAAUGGCAAUUAGUAGACAAACUAAUCAUUGUUUUCAUAGACAAGAGACAAAACAUUGCAAGGAAAACAAAAAAGAAUUCUCCAAGUUACUACAUUUCAUAUAUUUAAAAUAUCAAGAAAAAUGAAAAAAAAAUAUAUGUUGCUACCAUUAUUGGUUGAAUACAUAAAACUAUAUACUAAAUUUUUUGUAUUAUUUAGAAAAAAACCAAAAAAUAUAUAUUUUAAUUAAACAUUUAAAUGAAAAGAGGCAUGCAUGCAUUCAGAACGGUCAAAUAUAAAUAGGAACCUGUAUCACAGUGUCAGUGAUCUUCCCUCCCCAAUCGAAUAUUCUACCGAUCGCUUUACUUUCCCGAAUUCAAAAAUUUCCCGGAAAAUUUGUAAAGAAUCGUUACUUUCCCGAUUCAUUUCCUCCAGUGAUCUUCAUCGUAUUCCAACUUCUC
rnacentral:lncRNA from 1 species